rnacentral:rRNA from 1 species
ACGAACGCUGGCGGCGUGCCUAAUACAUGCAAGUAGAACGCUGAAGGAGGAGCUUGCUUCUCCGGAUGAGUUGCGAACGGGUGAGUAACGCGUAGGUAACCUGCCUGGUAGCGGGGGAUAACUAUUGGAAACGAUAGCUAAUACCGCAUAACAGUAGAUGUUGCAUGACAUUUGCUUAAAAGGUGCAAUUGCAUCACUACCAGAUGGACCUGCGUUGUAUUAGCUAGUUGGUGAGGUAACGGCUCACCAAGGCGACGAUACAUAGCCGACCUGAGAGGGUGAGCGGCCACACUGGGACUGAGACACGGCCCAGACUCCUACGGGAGGCAGCAGUAGGGAAUCUUCGGCAAUGGACGGGAGUCUGACCGAGCAACGCCGCGUGAGCGAAGAAGGUUUUCGGAUCGUAAAGCUCUGUUGUAAGAGAAGAACGAGUGUGAGAGUGGAAAGUUCACACUGUGACGGUAUCUUACCAGAAAGGGACGGCUAACUACGUG